GACGAACGCUGGCGGCGCGCUUAACACAUGCAAGUCGAACGGAAAGGCCCAGCUUUUGUGGGGUGCUCGAGUGGCGAACGGGUGAGUAACAUGUGAGUAACCUGCCCUUGACUUUGGGAUAACUUCAGGAAACUGGGGCUACUACCGGAUAGGAGCUCCUGCUGCUUGGUGGGGGUUGGAAAGUUUCGGCGGUUGGGGAUGGACUCGCGGCUUAUCAGCUUGUUGGUGGGGUAGUGGCUUACCAAUGCUUUGACGGGUAGCCGGCCUGAGAGGGUGACCGGCCACAUUGGGACUGAGAUACGGCCCAGACUGCUACGGGAGGCAGCAGUGGGGAAUAUUGCACAAUGGGCGGAAGCCUGAUGCAGCAACUCCGCGUGGGGGAUGACUGCCUUCGUGUUGUAAACCGCUUUCGCCUGUGACGAAGCGUGAGUGACGGUAAUGGGUAAAGAAACACCGGCUAACUACGUG
rnacentral:rRNA from 1 species